rnacentral:rRNA from 1 species
GACGAACGCUGGCGGCGUGCUUAACACAUGCAAGUCGAACGGAAAGGCCCUGCUUUUGUGGGGUGCUCGAGUGGCGAACGGGUGAGUAACACGUGAGUAACCUGCCCUUGACUUUGGGAUAACUUCAGGAAACUGGGGCUAAUACCGGAUAGGAGCUCCUGCUGCAUGGUGGGGGUUGGAAAGUUUCGGCGGUUGGGGAUGGACUCGCGGCUUAUCAGCUUGUUGGUGGGGGAGUGGCUUACCAAGGCUUUGACGGGUAGCCGGCCUGAGAGGGUGACCGGCCACAUUGGGACUGAGAGACGGCCCAGACUCCUACGGGAGGCAGUAGUGGGGAAUAUUGCACAAUGGGCGGAAGCCUGAUGCAGCAACGCCGCGUGCGGGAUGACGGCCUUCGGGUUGUAAACCGCUUUCGCCUGUGACGAAGCGUGAGUGACGGUAAUGGGUAAAGAAGCACCGGCUAACUACGUG